rnacentral:rRNA from 1 species
CAAUAGCGUAUAUUAAAGUUGUUGCAGUUAAAAAGCUCGUAGUUGGAUCUGUGGUGUGCGGUGGGCUCCGGGCACUUGUUGUCUGAGUAGCUCGCCGCUGCCAUCCUUGGGUGGAACCUGUGUGGCAUUAGGUUGUCGCGCAGGGGAUGCCCAUCGUUUACUGUGAAAAAAUUAGAGUGUUCAAAGCAGGCUUAUGCCGUUGAAUAUAUUAGCAUGGAAUAAUGAGAUAGGACUUUUUCGCUAUUUUGUUGGUUUGCGCGAAGAGGUAAUGAUUAAUAGGGACAGUUGGGGGUAUUCGUAUUCCAUUGUCAGAGGUGAAAUUCUUGGAUUUUUGGAAGACGAACUACUACGAAAGCAUUUACCAAGGAUGUUCUCAUUAA